UGGGGCGCAAGCCUGAUCCAGCCAUACCGCGUGGGUGAAGAAGGCCUUCGGGUUGUAAAGCCCUUUUGUUGGGAAAGAAAUCCAGCCGGCUAAUACCUGGUUGGGAUGACGGUACCCAAAGAAUAAGCACCGGCUAACUUCGUGCCAGCAGCCGCGGUAAUACGAAGGGUGCAAGCGUUACUCGGAAUUACUGGGCGUAAAGCGUGCGUAGGUGGUUAUUUAAGUCCGUUGUGAAAGCCCUGGGCUCAACCUGGGAACUGCAGUGGAUACUGGAUGACUAGAAUGUGGUAGAGGGUAGCGGAAUUCCUGGUGUAGCAGUGAAAUGCGUAGAGAUCAGGAGGAACAUCCAUGGCGAAGGCAGCUACCUGGACCAACAUUGACACUGAGGCACGAAAGCGUGGGGAGCAAACAGGAUUAGAUACCCUGGUAGUCCCAA
rnacentral:rRNA from 1 species